rnacentral:sRNA from 1 species
CAGAGAAGGCCUUGAAAGUUGAAAGUGAG